GGGUUGUGAGGUUAAGCGACUAAGCGUACACGGUGGAUGCCCUGGCAGUCAGAGGCGAUGAAGGACGUGCUAAUCUGCGAAAAGCGUCGGUAAGGUGAUAUGAACCGUUAUAGCCGGCGAUGUCCGAAUGGGGAAACCCAGUGCAAUUCGUUGCACUAUCGUUUGAUGAAUACAUAGUCAAACGAGGCGAACCGGGGGAACUGAAACAUCUAAGUACCCCGAGGAAAAGAAAUCAACCGAGAUUCCCCCAGUAGCGGCGAGCGAACGGGGAGCAGCCCGGAGUCUGAAUCAGCUUGUGUGUUAGUGGAAGCGUCUGGAAAGUCGCAGGGUACAGGGUGAUACUCCCGUACACUAAAGCACACAGGCUGUGAACUCGAAGAGUAGGGCGGGACACGUGGUAUCCUGUCUGAAUAUGGGGGGACCAUCCUCCAAGGCUAAAUACUCCUGACUGACCGAUAGUGAACCAGUACCGUGAGGGAAAGGCGAAAAGAACCCCGGCGAGGGGAGUGAAAAAGAACCUGAAACCGUGUACGUACAAGCAGUAGGAGCCUCUUUAUGGGGUGACUGCGUACCUUUUGUAUAAUGGGUCAGCGACUUAUAUUCUGUAGCAAGGUUAACCGUAUAGGGGAGCCGCAGGGAAACCGAGUCUUAACUGGGCGUUAAGUUGCAGGGUAUAGACCCGAAACCCGGUGAUCUAGCCAUGGGCAGGUUGAAGGUUGGGUAACACUAACUGGAGGACCGAACCGACUAAUGUUGAAAAAUUAGCGGAUGACUUGUGGCUGGGGGUGAAAGGCCAAUCAAACCGGGAGAUAGCUGGUUCUCCCCGAAAGCUAUUUAGGUAGCGCCUCGUGAACUCAUCUUCGGGGGUAGAGCACUGUUUCGGCUAGGGGGUCAUCCCGACUUACCAACCCGAUGCAAACUACGAAUACCGAAGAAUGUUAUCACGGGAGACACACGGCGGGUGCUAACGUCCGUCGUGAAGAGGGAAACAACCCAGACCGCCAGCUAAGGUCCCAAAGUCAUGGUUAAGUGGGAAACGAUGUGGGAAGGCCCAGACAGCCAGGAUGUUGGCUUAGAAGCAGCCAUCAUUUAAAGAAAGCGUAAUAGCUCACUGGUCGAGUCGGCCUGCGCGGAAGAUGUAACGGGGCUAAACCAUGCACCGAAGCUGCGGCAGCGACACUAUGUGUUGUUGGGUAGGGGAGCGUUCUGUAAGCCGUUGAAGGUGGCCUGUGAGGGUUGCUGGAGGUAUCAGAAGUGCGAAUGCUGACAUAAGUAACGAUAAUGCGGGUGAAAAACCCGCACGCCGGAAGACCAAGGGUUCCUGUCCAACGUUAAUCGGGGCAGGGUGAGUCGACCCCUAAGGCGAGGCCGAAAGGCGUAGUCGAUGGGAAACAGGUUAAUAUUCCUGUACUCGGUGUUACUGCGAAGGGGGGACGGAGAAGGCUAUGUUGGCCGGGCGACGGUUGUCCCGGUUUAAGCAUGUAGGCGGAUGUUCCAGGUAAAUCCGGAACGUUAUUAACGCUGAGGUGUGAUGACGAGGCACUACGGUGCUGAAGUGACAAAUGCCCUGCUUCCAGGAAAAGCCUCUAAGCAUCAGGUAACAUCAAAUCGUACCCCAAACCGACACAGGUGGUCAGGUAGAGAAUACCAAGGCGCUUGAGAGAACUCGGGUGAAGGAACUAGGCAAAAUGGUGCCGUAACUUCGGGAGAAGGCACGCUGAUGGUAAGUGAAGUGACUUGCUCAUGGAGCUGAAAUCAGUCGAAGAUACCAGCUGGCUGCAACUGUUUAUUAAAAACACAGCACUGUGCAAACACGAAAGUGGACGUAUACGGUGUGACGCCUGCCCGGUGCCGGAAGGUUAAUUGAUGGGGUUAUCCGUAAGGAGAAGCUCUUGAUCGAAGCCCCGGUAAACGGCGGCCGUAACUAUAACGGUCCUAAGGUAGCGAAAUUCCUUGUCGGGUAAGUUCCGACCUGCACGAAUGGCGUAAUGAUGGCCAGGCUGUCUCCACCCGAGACUCAGUGAAAUUGAACUCGCUGUGAAGAUGCAGUGUACCCGCGGCAAGACGGAAAGACCCCGUGAACCUUUACUAUAGCUUGACACUGAACACUGGUCCUUGAUGUGUAGGAUAGGUGGGAGGCUUUGAAGUGUGGACGCCAGUCUGCAUGGAGCCAUCCUUGAAAUACCACCCUUUAAUGGCUGGUGUUCUAACGUGGGCCCGUUAUCCGGGUUGCGGACAGUGUCUGGUGGGUAGUUUGACUGGGGCGGUCUCCUCCUAAAGAGUAACGGAGGAGCACGAAGGUCAGCUAAUCCUGGUCGGACAUCAGGAGGUUAGUGCAAUGGCAUAAGCUGGCUUGACUGCGAGCGUGACGGCGCGAGCAGGUGCGAAAGCAGGUCAUAGUGAUCCGGUGGUUCUGAAUGGAAGGGCCAUCGCUCAACGGAUAAAAGGUACUCCGGGGAUAACAGGCUGAUACCGCCCAAGAGUUCAUAUCGACGGCGGUGUUUGGCACCUCGAUGUCGGCUCAUCACAUCCUGGGGCUGAAGUAGGUCCCAAGGGUAUGGCUGUUCGCCAUUUAAAGUGGUACGCGAGCUGGGUUUAGAACGUCGUGAGACAGUUCGGUCCCUAUCUGCCGUGGGCGCUGGAGAAUUGAGGGGGGCUGCUCCUAGUACGAGAGGACCGGAGUGGACGCAUCACUGGUGUUCGGGUUGUCAUGCCAAUGGCAUUGCCCGGUAGCUAAAUGCGGAAGAGAUAAGUGCUGAAAGCAUCUAAGCACGAAACUUGCCCCGAGAUGAGUUCUCCCUGACUCCUUGAGAGUCCUGAAGGAACGUUGAAGACGACGACGUUGAUAGGCCGGGUGUGUAAGCGCAGCGAUGCGUUGAGCUAACCGGUACUAAUGAACCGUGAGGCUUAACCUUACAACGCCGAAG
rnacentral:rRNA from 1 species